GACCCUGUGCCAGUGGAGCACACUCUCCUAUCCUGGCCUGGUGAAGGAGCUGUGUGCCCUCUUCAUUGGCUCUGAGCUCAUUCCAAAAGAUGAAUUAAAUGAUCUGAUCGACCGAGCCUUCAGCAGAUUCCGUCACAGAGAGGUGGUCCAUCUGUCCAGGUUGAGGAAUGGGCUGAACGUGUUGGAGCUGUGGCAUGGCGUCACAUAUGCAUUUAAGGACCUGUCCCUGUCCUGCACAGCACAGUUCCUGCAGUACUUCCUGGAGAAGAGGGAGAAGCACGUCACUGUGGUUGUAGGAACAUCUGGGGACACAGGAAGUGCUGCCAUUGAGAGUGUUCAAGGGGCAAAGAACAUGGACAUUAUUGUUCUGCUGCCCAAAGGUCACUGCACAAAGAUUCAGGAGCUCCAGAUGACAACGGUGCUGAAGGAGAACGUACAUGUGUUUGGAGGUGUGUGCUGAAGCAGAGGCUCUAGGGACAGUGCAGCCCUGCCUUAAUUGGGUUUGCUUUGGGAGAUGGGCUGGAACAAAACUGCACAAUUGGGUAGCUGACCGUUCUCCUUUCAUCAGUCAUAUUCGAGGUUGGUGUAUAUCUCAGCUCUGGGCAGGGUUCUGGCUACACAGUAAACUAUUGGAGGUGACAGAUGCAUAAACCGAUACCAACAGUACAACAUACGAAGUACGGACUGAAAACCAUAUCCCAAAAAAUGCCACCUCCAUGCAUGUCCGGCCUGCAAGUAUCAUGUAUGUCAGCAGUCAUGCAGAGUCAUAACCUGAGCCAAGUGACUUGGGUUUUUUUCCAAGACUCUGAAGUUUAGAGGACACCAACAUGUUAAAUAAUUAUUUUAAGAGAAUGUGUUGCCAGGUGCGGUGACUCAUGUCUGUAAUCCCAGCACUUUGAGAGGUCAAGGUGGGUGGAUCGCUUCAGCCCAGGAGUUUGAGACCAGCCUGGGCAGCAUGGCGAAACCCUGCCACUAUAAAAAAUACAAAAAUUAGCCGGGCGUGGUGGUGUCCACCUGUAGUCCCAGCUCCUCCAAAGGCUGAGAUGGGAGGAUUGCUUAAGCCCAGAAGGCUGCAGUGAGCCAAGAUCAUGCCAUUGGAUUGCAGCCUGGGCAACAGAGUGAGACCCUGUCUCAAAAAAAAAAAAAAAAAGAAAGAAAGAGAAUGUGUCAUUAUAUGUUGACAGUUCCCGCUGUUCUUUACAGUAUGGGAACAACUAAGCCAUGCACUGGUUAUCCGGUCUAAAUAUUUAAAAUAGGGAACUACUUAGUGGUACCCACCACUGGUUAUACUGCUACCUGAGUCACAUCAUGAGAAUCACAGCAUUUUGUGCUUGGAGAAAGGCAAAAGCCAUCUUUUUUAACAUCAGGCCAUCCAUUCCUAAUGGAUUUAAUCAUUACAGGGAUUGAGAGUGGAGAAAGAUGGGGUGAGCGUGGGUGGAGCUGUACAUUUUUAUUUUUACCUCUCACCCCCCACUGGACCCCAGGUAGCUGCAAGGUGGGGACUUGGAUUAAGUUUUGGCCUGGGCAGGCUGUGGCCUUGGGCAGGCUUUCCAGAAGGCCUGGCUUAGUUUGGUCACUCACCUGACAGAACAGCAAGUAUGACGGCAGAGAAUGUUCCUUCUACAACUGGCCUGGCUUCCUAUGAUAAUCCUAUAGAGGUUAUUUUUAUAUAACGUCAACUUUGACAAGGAGCAAAAGCGCAGUGAAAACAAACCUUAUCCAAAGGAGCAGCAUAAAUAUCCUCUGUCAGUUUGUUCAAGAGCAAGCAAACUGCCCCUCUGCUCUGUUCUUUAGCAGGUGCAUACACUUGCCAGUGAAAAGUCCGUGGUUUAGCUAACGCAGGUGUUGACGUCAUCUUACACAUUUGCCUUGCUAAUUGCUCAUAUUUGGCUGCAUUUUCCUGCAGUUGUUGCAAGACUUUAAUGCACAAGAUUCAGGCUCCUGAGGGUCCUUGUUAUACCCUAAGCACCAAAAUUGCUAGUUACAGAUCUAGGACUGUUUUUUCCUAGAAUCAAAGCAGAGAAUAGCGUUUUGUGCCUCUGUCCUGCCUCCUACUCCCUUCUUGUCUUUUUUGUACACAGACCUAAGGGUGUGACUGAAAGCUCCAUUCCUGACUUGUGGAUUGGAGAACAGUGCCCAGCUGUAAAGUAAUGGCGGAAAUGUGGAAUCUGAUGAAUGCAAUAAGUCAUUAAAUGCUGGA
rnacentral:sRNA from 1 species